rnacentral:rRNA from 1 species
UACGUAGGGUGCGAGCGUUGUCCGGAAUCACUGGGCGUAAAGGGCGCGUAGGCGGCGCGGGGAGUCAACGGUGAAAGCUCGGCGCUCAACGCCGAGUCGGCCGUCGAUACUCCCGUGCUUGAGCACUGUAGAGGCAGGUGGAAUUCCGGGUGUAGCGGUGGAAUGCGUAGAGAUCCGGAAGAACACCAGUGGCGAAGGCGGCUUACUGGCCCGAUACUGACGCUGAGGCACGAAAGCGUGGGGAGCAAACAGG